ACAUGAAUCCCUCAGGGAUCUUGUUAAAAUGUAGAUUCUGAUGCAGUAGGGCUGGUGUGGGGCCCCAGAGUCUACAUUUUUAAAAAGCUCCCAGUGGAUGUCAAU
rnacentral:pre_miRNA from 1 species